rnacentral:rRNA from 1 species
GAUGAACGCUGGCGGCGUGCCUAAUACAUGCAAGUCGAGCGAACGGACGAGAAGCUUGCUUCUCUGAUGUUAGCGGCGGACGGGUGAGUAACACGUGGAUAACCUACCUAUAAGACUGGGAUAACUUCGGGAAACCAGAGCUAAUACCGGGUAAUAUUUUGAACCGCAUGGUUCAAAAGUGAAAGACGGUCUUGCUGUCACUUAUAGAUGGAUACGCGCUGCAUUAGCUAGUUGGUAAGGUAACGGCUUACCAAGGCAACGAUGCAUAGCCGACCUGAGAGGGUGAUCGGCCACACUGGAACUGAGACACGGUCCAGACUCCUACGGGAGGCAGCAGUAGGGAAUCUUCCGCAAUGGGCGAAAGCCUGACGGAGCAACGCCGCGUGAGUGAUGAAGGUCUUCGGAUCGUAAAACUCUGUUAUUAGGGAAGAACAUAUGUGUAAGUAACUGUGCACAUCUUGACGGUACCUAAUCAGAAAGCCACGGCUAACUACGUG